UACGUAGGGUGCGAGCGUUGUCCGGAAUUAUUGGGCGUAAAGAGCUCGUAGGCGGUGUGUCGCGUCGGCCGUGAAAACCUGGGGCUCAACUCUGGGCGUGCGGUCGAUACGGGCAUCACUUGAGUUCGGCAGGGGAGACUGGAAUUCCUGGUGUAGCGGUGAAAUGCGCAGAUAUCAGGAGGAACACCGGUGGCGAAGGCGGGUCUCUGGGCCGAUACUGACACUGAGGGAUGAAAGCUGGGGGAGCAAAUAGG
rnacentral:rRNA from 1 species